rnacentral:rRNA from 1 species
GACGAACGCUGGCGGCGUGCUUAACACAUGCAAGUCGAACGGAAAGGCCCUGCUUGCAGGGUACUCGAGUGGCGAACGGGUGAGUAACACGUGGGUGAUCUGCCCUGCACUUCGUGAUAAGCCUGGGAAACUGGGUCUAAUACCGGAUAGGAGCCAUUUUUAGUGUGAUGGUUGGAAAGUUUUUUCGGUGUAGGAUGAGCUCGCGGCCUAUCAGCUUGUUGGUGGGGUAAUGGCCUACCAAGGCGGCGACGGGUAGCCGGCCUGAGAGGGUGGACGGCCAAAAUGGGACUGAGAGACGGCCAAGAAGCCUACGGGAGGAAGAAGUGGGGAAUAAUGCAAAAUGGGGGCAAGCCUGAUGCAGCGAAGCCGCGUGGGGGAUGAAGGCCUUCGGGUUGUAAACUCCUUUCGCUAGGGACGAAGCUUUUUGUGACGGUACCUAGAUAAGAAGCACCGGCUAACUACGUG